AUUGAACGCUGGCGGCAGGCCUAACACAUGCAAGUCGAGCGAGCGGCGGACGGGUGAGUAAUGUCUGGGAAACUGCCUGAUGGAGGGGGCUAACUACUGGAAACGGUAGCUAAUACCGCAUACCCUCAGAUGUGCCCAGAUGGGAUUAGCGUGUAGGUGGGGGAAUGGCUCACCUAGGCGACGAUCCCUCGCUGGUAUGAGAGGAUGACCAGCGACACUGGAACUGAGACACGGUCCAGACUCCGACGGGAGGCGGCAGUGGGGAAUAUUGCACAAUGGGCGCAAGCAUGAUGCAGCCAUGCCGCGUGUGUGAAGAAGGCCUUCGGGUUGUAAAGCACUGUCAGCGAGGAGGCGUUACUCGCAGAAUAAGCACCGGCUAACUCCGUGCCAGCAGCCGCGGUAAUAC
rnacentral:rRNA from 1 species